ensembl:lncRNA
AUGAUUUUAGAAAGCUUCUGCUAUCUGAGGGAUUUAGCAAUACGCAAGAAAAUAUCCGAAAAAACAGCAAAGAGAAGAAUGGUUUCCAUUUCAUUAUUAAGGCUCUUUCUUCUGUCUCUCACACAAGCAGCGGCUGGACCUCCGUUAUUUGAUCAUUUGGACAUGUUUGCGUUACUAGGAGAUGAUGUUACUUUGCCAUGUAGCGUACCCUCGAUCCAAUCCUGCUCCUCUGUGAACUGGAACAUGGUCGAAGAGUUUCAGUCGAUCACCGAGGUGGUGAAGGCUGGAGAGGUGACGGCGCCGGGUGGGAAGGCCCUCAGGCUCGGCCUGCUGAAGGACUGCUCUCUGGAGAUUACUCACCUGGAGCUCACCGACGCACGGCUUUACUCUUGCGACACCGGCACGCUCAAUUCAAGCGCUUCACUUCAGAUUCUUGAAGUUACAGAGAGCUCCACUCCUGCGGUGGACACCAUAGAGCUUCAUUGUUUCCUCAAUAUAUAUAGAGGACAUGCUCCAUGUAACAAAAAAGGGAUCCACAUCGAGUGGAGAACAAGAGACAACAAACCUUUAAAUGGGGACCGAUUUAAGGUUGAAAAUCCCUCUGAAUGCUUCUCUAAACUGAUCAUCACUCAAAAACCGACGGACCAUCACAGACAAUGGAAAUGCCAGCUGACCCAGGGCGACACUGUUAAAGCCACCAUCCGUUACACAACGACAAUAAAAGACGGCAUAGAGGAAGUGUUUGCUGCAGUGGGCGAGCCAGUGUCACUCUCUUGUUGGGCCACUUCUUCUCUCGGGGUGAGAGGCGGAGGGAAGUGGGCUGUAGGGGAAAGGACACUGACGCAUGAUAUGGGGUUAGGCUCACCACAUGGAGACCCGACGGAGGCAUUUCAUGUCAGUGAAGAUUCAUCACUGGUCAUCAGCAGAGUGAGCGUUCUGCACGCGGGGGACUACACGUGCACAGACUCCCCUGAGCAGCAAAGAGGCGUUAACAAAGUCCGGCUGCACACCCUCGAUGUUGUUUCGGAGCGUGAGCCGGAGGGAGAUAAUCUCACUUUAGCUUGUGUGCUUACCUGCACUAAAGAAUGUGGAAAGGACGUCACUUUGACCUGGUCUGGUAGCCGGCAGGGCCAUUUAAUGAGGGUCAACAACUCGCUCACAAACAGGUUGUUUCUCCCCGAUUUGUCGAUGGCACCGGCUGAAUUCACGUGCUCUGUGCACAGAGACAGUGAUGUGAUGGCGUCAAAGAAGUGGCACACUGUUAACCCUCUGCAAACUCCUGCGUGGGUGCUACUUCCUUUGGUCCUCCUGAUUUGUGUAACUGGACUCUACAUGUGCAACAAGAGGAAGCACCACAAGGAUGCAGGAAAUGAGCAGUCAAGUAUUGGAAUGACUCCUCUUUACGAGGUCAUCCAGGAUGUAAACAAUGAGGAUGUGCAACACCAGAGGCAACCCGAAGGAGGGACUAUCACCUCCACUGACGAUUUCUACGAUUUGUUACAGGCUGUGAACUAAAUGAAUGCUUCUUUUGACUUUAAGUCAGUUUCAAAGGGGAGCAGAUCAGUGCUCGUGACGUCUUCACGACCAAACAUCAUGCUAUAGAUAUGUAUUCAAAUUGGGUAAAAGGUUUAAAAUAAAGAUGACACUUCAGACAGGUCUCAAGUUAUUUUUUAAUUAUUAUCUAGAUUAGAGUAGAUGAACACAAAGAUGGCAAUAAGAACGACUCUUUUCAGCAGUCUAAGUAAAAAAACAAUCAAAGCUCAGCAUUUUCUAUGUUGAUCUAUUUAAAUCUAAAUUACUCUUUGAAGACAAACACUUUACAGGUGUGUUCAUUUCACAUGAAUAGACAUUAAGGACUUUGCUCAUUCGAGGAAAAUCUUCUUCUUUGUCUUGAGCAGAUUGAACAUUACUAAUAACGAACUGCAAUGAUGGAGAGACUUUUGUUAUUUGGCUAUUUUGAUAAGAUGCAAAUAGAAGUAUGACUUCAUAUAAUAGUAGUUGUGAUUACAAGUAGUAUUACUUACAAGUACACAGGCUUUCAUCCACAAACUGCUGGUACAGAGAGUUGUCUAGACACGCACCAUCUGUGAGAUAAAGUUGACAAAUUGUCGGUAAAGUGGUAAACAAAGGUCACAGUAGCUUGUCAAAAGAAGACAACGGGAUGCUCACCUUCUGUAGGGGUCACAUUCACAACCUCAUACGCAUGCAUAAGAGUACCUUAACAACCAGAGAGAACCCAAAGUUAUUCCGAUGAGGCGCUACACGGCAUUGCUCGUCGAGGUUAAAGAGAAGAAUCAAACCUGGUGGCGUGUGCCUGAGGGUCUGCUGCGUAACUCUUUGGGUGUUACGGCUGCAGUAAACGAAGAGUCCUAUCAGUGCAGCCAUUAUGGCAGUGCCAAUAAUGACUGAAGUCACAACAACAGGCAGAAAUGCUACACUGUUCCUUUCCGUCGCCGUCUCCGUCUCAGUUUCCAUCUUUGUCUUUGUCUGCCUAACAGACUCACUGAUUUCCAGUCCUGGGUAGAAUACAGGAAGCAGAGCCAAGCAGUUACAACACCACAUUUAACUGGAAUUUAAUUAAGAUUAAUAAUACACACACAUAUAUAUAUAUAUGUAUAUAUAUAUAUAAAUAUAUAUGAAUAGUUCUUUCUGCAAUACCUGGAACUGCUGUGGCCACAACCUCCUUUUUGUCUUUACAAAGGAAAUAGAAAAGGUACAUAGGAGUCAUACAUAUUGUUUGGUUGUUGUCAGUGAUAAUAAAGGUAGUUUAAAAUCUUACCUUGGACCCGUAGAUUAAAUUCAUAGCAGCGCUGAGUUUGUCCGAGCACGUACUUACAUCCAAACCAACCGCUGUCACUGGGUUGCACAGACAGGAAAGCUAAGGAUGUCCCAUUCAUUUCAACCCCUUCAGAGUUGAGAGAUACAGCGUUGCCUGAUUUCACCUUAAACCAGGAUAUAUUUUGGGGAUAUAUUUUGGGGUCCGUGUUGUCCACCGGGCAGGACAGGUUAACAGGCGCGCUAGCAUUUGCCUUUACUGCUGGAAGGGUUUUGCAAUCUAAAAAAGGUGAGAUUUGUGUGAUACGUACGUGACAUUUCUAUGACAAAGAGGAAAAAUGAGUAGCUAAUAUGUAAUCUUACCUUUCACCUUUAAAGAAACGUUUUUCAAAGUACAGUCCCACCCUUUGCAGAUUUCACAUCCAUACAGUCCCUCAUCGGAUGGUUGGAUUUUUUUCAGAAAAACACACACUUUAGUUCCAUUAACCUCCAAUUUUACUCUUUUAGCAUCCGCGUGGUUGGUUGUUGUAGGCCUGGCAAGUAUAACCUCCAUCGAACUGGAAAUUGUAGCAUACUUAAUCAACUUGAAUCUGUCGCGGCCACUUGGAUCCAUCACAUUUGAAUCAAAGCAGGAAAGAAGUACAUCUUCUUCUUUUGAAGCAGUCAGUGUCUCAGCUGAGAUGUCAUUAAAACGAUGGAGAGGUAAAUAUUAGAAUCCCUUUAGAAUAACACCAACAGUACAUUAUUUAUAGGAUUUUAAAUAGCUUAAGGCAGUUCAUUCUAGAUGUUACCAGAAGAUGAUUAUUAUUAUAUCCGUUGUUAAAUAAGUGUAUGUAUACUACAUUUAUAACAGUCACAGUUGGUUUGGCGUUAAUAAGUCUUUGGAAUACUGACCAUAAAAAGUAAAAUACAUUUUGAAUCUGGGAAAGUCAUAAUUUAGUCACCUACUCACCUGCGCGUUCUGAUAUGAUUAUCAACAGAACUAAGAGACCCCGCAAAUAGAAAUGUGCCAUUUUCCAAGUGAUGUCCCCAAGUGGAGCGACAAAAUGAGAUUCUAUUCAAGGCUAUUUUUUUUUUGGUCUCCACCUAUUUUCAGUUCUCUAAGUCACACAGAAGUCCACAUGAAACGAACCUCCGAGCCAAACAUCGCUUUUAGUUCUGUUUACCAAAGUCUGUGGUAAAUAGAGCCCUCGUGUGGCA